GGGGGGGGGAGGACCCAUGUGGAGGCAUGCUUAAAAGACCACCCUGAUGCUCGUGACUCUCUUGUCCCUCUCGGCUGCCGCUGAGGUUGUGGGGACACUAAAGUGGGACCUUAAAGCCGGGUCAGCCAGUCCCUGGAGCAACUGGUGGUUAAGGGCCCAGUGAUGGGAUUCGACACAGUGACCUACUGACCAUGGACACACCACCCUGAUCAGGUUCGCAGACUGUUGGUAUUAGAUUAUGAGUAAAACACAGAUAUAAUUACAAACCUGUGUGUGUAUGUGUGUGUCUGUCUGUAUGUGUGUGUGUCUCUGUCUGUACUGCAUGUGUGUGUGUGUGUUUGUAUAGAGUAGCUCCAGGCAUCCAGGCAUUGUGGGACCAUCC